GGUUAUUUUGCAGAUUGGAGAAUGGAAUUUGAUAGCAAAUUAAAUAAGGUUUCUAUGAGAAUUAAUUUUUGGUGAAUUAGAUUUGUAAUGACUUUGUAAGAGCUUUACAAAAUCAAGUUUGUUUUUAGAUGACUUGGGUUUUGUGAAAUAAAAUAGGAUUGACAUUUCUAGUGAUUUCAAGAGUUUUGUAACAAAUCUAUAAGUGAAAUUUUUUGGAUUAAUGGUUAUAGUUGUGCUUAAUAUUUUUUAUGAAUCUUAGCUUGAUCAAAUGGUUGAAUUGAGGGUUAUUGAAGUUUAAGUAGGUCAAGAUCUAAGAAAGUAGAA
rnacentral:lncRNA from 1 species